rnacentral:rRNA from 1 species
GUGGGGAAUUUUGCGCAAUGGGGGAAACCCUGACGCAGCGAUGCCGCGUGAAGGACGAAGGUCUUCGGAUUGUAAACUUCUUUUGCGGGGGAAAAAUCUGCACGUGAAUAACGUGCAGUGAUGGUACUCCGCGAAUAAGCCACGGCUAACUUCGUGCCAGCAGCCGCGGUAAGACGAAGGUGGCGAGCGUUACUCGGAAUUACUAGGCGUAAAGCGUGGGUAGGUGGUUCGGCAAGUCUGUUGUGGAAGCUCCUGGCUUAACCGGGAGAGGCCAAUGGAUACUACCGGGCUUGAAUGUGGGAGAGGUCGCUGGAAUUCCUGGUGUAGCGGUGAAAUGCGUAGAGAUCAGGAGGAACACCGAUGGCGAAAGCAGGCGACUGGACCACUAUUGACACUGAGCCACGAAAGCUAGGGGAGCAAACAGGAUUAGAUACCCUGGUAGUCC